AGAGGCGUCAACAAAAUCUCUCAAUAAAUUACUCAAUAUAUAUCUGUUUAUAAGUGUACAUACAUAGCUAAAUAGAUAGAUACAGAUAUACAUAUAUGUAUAUAUAACGAGCCGCAUAUAGUAAUUCCAUAGAUAUUUGCAAUCGCUUCCUACUUUUCCAUUUCGCGUGUUGCGCUUUUGUCUUUGCUCUGUAUUCUAUAGAUUAUUUGUUUUGUUUUCAUUUCUUUAUUAUUUUUAUAAAUAAUGCCAUAGAGAAUUAUUUCUGUGCUUUUACAAUGCUGAGAAUGCGCUCCUCAAUUACAUAAAAAUCGUCUGAUUGAAAUGGAAUUGUCUAUCGAACAAAAGUGCUAAGAAUAAAAACUUUUAUAUGAAUCGAGAAAUUCAUUUUUCAUAUCUGACAAUUGAACGUACAAGAAAUACAAAUGUCAGGCAAAUUUUGAUUACAAACCCAAUAUGAAUGACAGUUGUUAUCAAGUGAAAGAUCAAAGAUAGAGUGAACCAUAAGUCUAAAGCAAAUCAAAUAUAUUUACUUUACUUGUUUAAAAAAAAAAAGUGCUCUAGCUGGCACUUUGAAAAAAUGGAGUGAAAUUAUCGAUUUUUAUUUAUACUAAUUGAAAAAUGGAUCGUGUUAUCGAUAACAAUGGCAAUAUACAAGUUAUGCUUAAAAAUUAAGUGAAAUUAUAGAUUUUUAUUUAUAUUAAUUGACAAAAAAAAUAAUUGAAAUAUAUCGAUAACAAUGGUAAAUGCAUAGAAUAGACAAGAAUACAUUUAAUGUGUGGGAUGUGUUAUCGAUAACAAUGAUAAAUGCAUAGAAUAGAAAAAAAUAUAUUUUAAAUGUCAAGUCUUUAGCUUUUGGAUUUACUCUAGCUCAACUCAUUUCGUCAGCCUAAUCAACAAUAUGGGGUCUGCCACGCCUCCUUCUGCCUGUCACAUACCUUUCAAUAAAAUCAGUAUGCCCUAAUUUUCCCUUUUGCAGUGUAUAAAAACCUUUUGCUGCCUGCAUAAAAAACUGCAUUUAAUUUAUUUAAAAAUAUAUAUAAAUAUAUUUAUUUAUAUACCAGGCAUUGAUGUUGUCAAUUUAAUUCAUUCCCCUCGUUUUGAGUCCAUUCUAAUACAGUUAUAAUUUACUCUUUAUGCAAGCGUUGAAAACUUGAAAUUUUCCACUUGAUUUAUUCAUUAAUUGCGCCCUUAACGCCUGCAAUUGUAUAAAAAAAAUUAAUAUGUAUAUAUAUACAAAUUAAUAAAAGAAAAUUACAGUGUAAACAGCGCAGCUGCAUAUUAAGAACUGAGGCCUACAACACUUAUAAUUGCAAGUCGCUUAAUGAGCGACAACUUGACGACUUUUAUGAGCUGCAAUCAAGUGUUAAGCUGCAUACAAUUGAAUCUAAUUGGAUCUGCUUGUGCUCCUCUCCCCUUGAUCCAGAUAACAAUUGACAAGUCAAAAAAAAAAAAAAAAAAAAAAAAAAACGUUGCUCAAAUCGUUUAAUCAGUAAUAAACACACACUUAUGCACUUAUAUCCCUAUAUAUGAAUAUGAGUAUAAAUUUAUGAAUUGCUUUUAUUUUUAUCGAAUUUAGAUUUAUAUCUUUAUUAACUGAGCAAUUUAUAUGUGCAUGAGCUUUAUUUAUGGCAACGCAUUUAGUCUUAUCAUAUUGGAAUUUAUACUUUUGAUCAAGCUCAGUAAGAUUUACUAUAUAAACAGUUAACUUUGUAAGCUGAAAUAUAACUGAAUACUGCAGCUGAAUAGCUGCCAUAGCUCACACAACUUCUGAAUCGACAUUGAAUUAUUUGCUGACAUAAGUCAAGUACGAGUCUUACAUAGCACCUACAUAUCAGAUCCUAAGCUGGGCGCAAUCUAUAAUCGAAUUGCGCCAGCUUCGGUGAUCUUGGCAUGUAGCUAACAAUUGUUAACUCAAACAGAAGAGCACUUUUUUAUGGCAUUGCAGGCAGUAGGAAACGGCAGCCCGAACGAAAUCAACUUGGCACCUUAAUAAAAGCAGCACCAUAUGGAUAGAGAGAUACCGAUACCAAGUUCGAGACCGGGCCGCGAAUCACAAGUCAGAUACAUCAUUUAGAAACGUUUAUUGCUAAGAUAAAUUCAGCAAGGAGUUUAAUAGCCACUAUCAAUAUUUGUACAACAAAUAAGCGACGAGCGCGACCGAGCUCAAUGCGAGGCGGCGUAAAAUGUCGCAGCCAUAAGAUAGAGACGAAAUCGUAGCAGCAACAGCAGCAGCAACAGAUGCGUAAGGCGAAUUAACACAAACGCGUUAAUACAAUUAGUUUAAAAGUGAAAAAUCUCAUAUACAAUAUAUAUAUUUAUAUAUA